rnacentral:rRNA from 1 species
UACAGCGGUCUCAAGCGUUGUUCGGAUUCAUUGGGCGUAAAGGGUGCGUAGGUGGUGCUGUAAGUCAGGUGUGAAAUCCCGGGGCUCAACCCCGGAACUGCACUUGAUACUGCAGUGCUCGAGGACUGGAGAGGAGAUCGGAAUUCAUGGUGUAGCAGUGAAAUGCGGAGAGAUCAUGAGGAAGACCAGUGGCGAAGGCGGAUCUCUGGACAGUUCCUGACACUGAGGCACGAAGGCCAGGGGAGCAAACGGG